CGGCCCGUAGCGCAGCGGUCAGAGCAUCCGUCUGAUAUGCGGAGGGUCGGAGGUUCAAUUCCUCCCGGGCCGA
rnacentral:tRNA from 1 species